rnacentral:rRNA from 1 species
CCUACGGGUCGCACCAGUGGGGAAUCUUGCGCAAUGGGCGAAAGCCUGACGCAGCGACGCCGCGUGAGUGAUGAAGGCCUUCGGGUUGUAAAGCUCUGUGGAGGGGGAAGAAUAAGGCAUGGCUAACAUCCAUGUCGAUGACGGUACCCCUUUAGCGAGCACCGGCUAACUCUGUGCCAGCAGCCGCGGUAAGACAGAGGGUGCAAACGUUGUUCGGAAUUACUGGGCGUAAAGCGCGUGUAGGCGGCUUGGCAAGUCGGGUGUGAAAGCCCUGGGCUCAACCUAGGAAGUGCACUCGAAACUGCUUCGCUUGAAUGCCGGAGAGGAAAGCGGAAUUCUCGGUGUAGAGGUGAAAUUCGUAGAUAUCGAGAGGAACACCGGUGGCGAAGGCGGCUUUCUGGACGGUGAUUGACGCUGAGACGCGAAAGCGUGGGGAGCAAACAGGAUUAGAUACCCGCGUAGUC